AUUGAACGCUGGCGGCAGGCCUAACACAUGCAAGUCGAGCGGAUGAAGGGAGCUUGCUCCUGGCUUCAGCGGCGGACGGGUGAGUAAUGCCUAGGAAUCUGCCUGGUAGUGGGGGAUAACGUCCGGAACCGGGCGCUAAUACCGCAUACGUCCUGAGGGAGAAAGUGGGGGCUCUUCGGACCUCACGCUAUCAGAUGAGCCUAGGUCGGAUUAGCUAGUUGGUGGGGUAAAGGCCUACCAAGGCGACGAUCCGUAACUGGUCUGAGAGGAUGAUCAGUCACACUGGGACUGAGACACGGUCCAGACUCCUACGGGAGGCAGCAGUGGGGAAUAUUGGACAAUGGGCGAAAGCCUGAUCCAGCCAUGCCGCGUGUGUGAAGAAGGUCUUCGGAUUGUAAAGCACUUUAAGUUGGGAGGAAGGGCAGUAAGUUAAUACCUUGCUGUUUUGACGUUACCAACAGAAUAAGCACCGGCUAACUUCGUG
rnacentral:rRNA from 1 species